UACGUAGGGGGCGAGCGUUGUCCGGAAUCAUUGGGCGUAAAGCGCGUGUAGGCGGCCCGGUAAGUCCGCUGUGAAAGUCCAGGGCUCAACCCUGGGAUGCCGGUGGAUACUGUCGGGCUCGAGUCCGGAAGAGGCGAGUGGAAUUCCUGGUGUAGCGGUGAAAUGCGCAGAUAUCAGGAGGAACACCAAUGGCGAAGGCAGCUCGCUGGGGCGUGACUGACGCUGAGACGCGAAAGCGUGGGGAGCGAACAGG
rnacentral:rRNA from 1 species